rnacentral:rRNA from 1 species
GAUUAUGGCUCAGGAUGAACGCUGGCGGCGUGCUUAACACAUGCAAGUCGAGCGGAGAUAUAAAAAGGAAGCCCUUCGGGGUGGAAUUUUACAUCUUAGCGGCGGACGGGUGCGUAACACGUGGGUAACCUGCCCCUAUCACUGGGAUAACACACUGAAAAGUGUGCUAAUACCAGAUAAUAUAAGCUUUUGGUAUCAUUAGCUUAUCAAAGAAUUUCGGAUAGGGAUGGGCCCGCGUCUGAUUAGCUUGUUGGUGAGGUAACGGCUCACCAAGGCAACGAUCAGUAGCCGACCUGAGAGGGUGAUCGGCCACACUGGAACUGAGACACGGUCCAGACUCCUACGGGAGGCAGCAGUGGGGAAUAUUGCACAAUGGGCGAAAGCCUGAUGCCAGCAACGCCGCGUGAGCGAUGAAGGCCUUCGGGUCGUAAAGCUCUGUCCUAUGGGAAGAUAAUGACGGUACCAUAGGAGGAAGCCCCGGCUAACUACGUGCCAGCCGCCGC